CACAGAUUUCUAACAAGUGAUUUGCUCCAUUUGUUGAGUUUCACAUACUCUAAAAACCUCAACAUAUGUGAGGCGAGAGACCUUGCAACGGAAGACAAUGCCACUUUAGGAGCAAUGUUUCAGAAGAUGGAGAACACAAGACUAAGGAUUACGCUAAGGUGGUUUGGUAUAAGGCAAAUCAGCAUUAGCUCCAGGUACGAGUCGAGUGCAAUAAUAUCAUAUGGUGGCGAUUUCAUUGUUGGAUAUGCAAGUUUUUUGGGUGCACAGACCACAAUAUAUGUUCGUCAAAUUUGAGGCACGAGGAGCUGUCUCGAGAGUUAGAUCGUAAUAGACCAGGCUCGAGCUCAAUGGCAGAGUAUGGAGCAUGAAGAUCGAAGUGCUCGCUGAAGAUCGAGACCGAGCAUGACCGACUUCAAGUAAAGCAUAAUAACGGAAUGGCGAGAUAUUAGCAACCGACCGAAGAUCUCGGCAAAAAUUCCGGAAUAGAUCGAAUCAAGCGGUUAUUGAUGCCAAUCAUGGGAUUUAUUUCCGUUAUUAGAAUUGUACAUUAUU